rnacentral:rRNA from 1 species
AGGAUUAGAUACCCUGGUAGUCCACGCCCUAAACGAUGUACACUAGUUGUUGGGGUGCUAGUCAUCUCAGUAAUGCAGCUAACGCAUUAAGUGUACCGCCUGGGGAGUACGGUCGCAAGAUUAAAACUCAAAGGAAUAGACGGGGACCCGCACAAGCGGUGGAGCAUGUGGUUUAAUUCGAAGAUACGCGAAGAACCUUACCUGGGCUUGAUAUCCUAAGAACCUUAUAGAGAUAUGAGGGUGCUAGCUUGCUAGAACUUAGAGACAGGUGCUGCACGGCUGUCGUCAGCUCGUGUCGUGAGAUGUUGGGUUAAGUCCCGCAACGAGCGCAACCCACGUAUUUAGUUGCUAACGGUUCGGCCGAGCACUCUAAAUAGACUGCCUUCGUAAGGAGGAGGAAGGUGUGGACGACGUCAAGUCAUCAUGGCCCUUAUGCCCAGGGCGACACACGUGCUACAAUGGCAUAUACAAUGAGACGCAAUACCGCGAGGUGGAGCAAAUCUAUAAAAUAUGUCCCAGUUCGGAUUGUUCUCUGCAACUCGAGAGCAUGAAGCCGGAAUCGCUAGUAAUCGUAGAUCAGCCAUGCUACGGUGAAUACGUUCCCGGGUCUUGUACUCACCGCCCGUCACACCAUGGGAGUUGAUUUCACUCGAAGCCG